CUUGUUCACUGCUGGCAAAAAUGCAUACUUAGUGGUGGUGACUAUGUUGAAAAACAGUAUUUUGUAGCUAAGAAUGUGGUCUACCAUCAGAUAUAGUGCUAUUGUGCUCUUUGCGCCUGUUGUAGUUUCCAUGGAAUUAAGUAGGAGGUGUUAUUUUCAGAAUGACCUAAGUAUUUUGACUGCUGGAAUUUUAACACAAAGAUAUCAGUUUAAAGUUACUGAAGUGAAAUGUACUGCAAGAAACGUAAUGUUUUCAGAAAGUGUUUUUGGGAUACUUUUUGUAUAAAGAUAAGCAAAGCAGUAUGAAAGAACUCUGCACAGCAAUUAAUUUCAGCUGUACAUCACUUCACACAUUAAUUCUGCACCUUACAUUUGCAAGCAGCAUUCUCAGGAAGUCACAGCUCUGUCAGACCUGAUUCUGAUAUAAAUUCUAUUCCAUGAAGCUUAUACAAAAAUCAGCCACAACAUUAAGACAUUCUUUCAGUCACAAAUAGAUCCUCUUCAAGUCUCAACAGAACAGUGCUUUAACUUUGAAGAACAAUACUGUAGAAUAAAACAUGGAAAUAAAGCUGUCUACAGGAUGAAAUAGUUGAAGCAGAAUUUCAUUACAUAGCCACCUGAUUAACACUGCUAAUUACUGUGAUGGGUUGUCCUAUGCACAACAUCUAGUUUGAAAUAUGUUACAAACUCCAUGCAUUUCCCACCUAUGGUAGCUUUCAGCACCAGAAAUUUGCAUUUUAUCAAAUAUUUACCACUUGCAUCCCUAAAAUUCUCUAGUUUUAACUGGGCAUUGGUAGAUUGCCACCUGCCAAGAUGCUAACUUUCCAAUUCAUCACAUUCCUAGAUUUCCACUUGCAUUUUCACCUGUGCUCUCCUCAUGUCUUUGGUUAUUUCUGGACUUGGUAAUACACUUAAAUGAUAUUUUACCUUGUAAGUUAUCUGUGGUCUGAAUCUAAAUUCUUAGCAAGUGUCUGAAAGAGACUACAUGGAAACAGAAUUUAUGAACCAAUUUAAGUAUUUGCUUUAAUGUUUUGAAACAGUCAAAUUCUUCCCUAAGCACUUCUGAAGACUUAUGAACAUUCAUCACUCAUGCCUGAAAAUGAACCACACAGCCAUUUAUUCAUGAUCACACUGCAAACACCACGGUACUCAGAGACUGUGCAACUAAAUACACACAGUAGAGCAAACAGACAACAAGAACACUGUAAUUAAAGGAGGUUAAUAUUGCAUCAGCUUUUGCUAAUCUAUUGCUUAGUACAGCAACAACCACAGGACUCGUGUGCCUACACACUCCCUGCUGUUGAAACAGGCAAGUCUCACUACAUACCAGAACAGUUUGAGACUCAUUUAGGAAAGUGCAUGUGAAUGAACUACUGGAGUGAAUGCUUUGCUACUUUGCAACUGAAAUAUCGUAUUAUUCCCUUGGAUGUUUCAGGGUGAUCUCUGUUUUGAUUAAUAAUAACAGUUUUUGUCAUUCCUACUUAAAUCGAUUACACCAAAUAAACACAACUGAAGGAAUCAAUUUCUUGACGCAUAUUUCUUCUACUCUUAUUUUGUAGAGUUAAUGAAAUAUAACAUAAAAGGAAGAGAACUUUAAGAGAACUUCCAACCCCAACCAUUCUACAAUUCUACGAAGAUACAUUCUGAAACAGACUGCAUGGAUUUAAACUCAAGGAAGCUGUCAAAAGGAAAGAAGUCCAUGAAUGACACUUACAGCAAAGGCUCUGACCACGUGCUUCAGACACAGCAAUUCUUCAGAGCACAGAGAGAAACUCCGGAGUGUGACAAGAUCACAAAGCAGUACUGAGUUGGACAGUCCUCUGCACAGCACGGGGACGGAUCACCUUCUUCAGCCCUGCCAUGUACUGCUUAUGUCCUGCAUAUCUAAAGUGCUUCCUGCAUAUCUAAAGUGCUUUCUGGAUUGUGGGGUUUUUUUCACAUGCAGCCCAGACCAGACACAAAACAGUAGGUGCACAGAAGUACAGAACUCAAAAGAAGAUUAAAGAAUCCACUCUUAGCAGCUCACUAACCCUGCCAGACACAAACAAUUUAUGACACAGUGAUUCAGAAAGUAAGGAAUCAGAGGAGAGACAGUUUCAUGAAAAACAAAAAGAUAAUACGUGUUUUAAGUAGACUUUUGUGUUAAAUCUGUAUAACAUCACUUCACAGGGUUACUUGAAAACAUUUCCUCCGUAUUUAAGCAGUGCUUGAAGUGUUUUGGCAUGUAACAUAAUUAGUUAUGGUUGAAAAAUAACAACCCUAUAAUUUGGAAGGAAAAGAAAUACUGUUGAAAAAAAAAAUGGUAUCAGGAGCAAAUGGUAUGACACACAGGGGAACAAAAGAUAGAGUAUGGUUUAUAACACUGCCAAUUAAUGCAGUAAGAUGUAAACCACAAAUACCAUCAGACACUAUAAGGUACAGCACAGGGACUAAAACCUCAGUCUUCUUCACAGCUCCACAAGAUCUCUCUGCAGCAAUGGUGUCAUAUCUGUAUCUUUCUAUUGUGUGAGGAUUCAUAUUUUGGUUAAAUUAUGAAGAUGGUUUCCAAUUCAAUUGAAACAAAACAAAAUUUAAUUAAGCUUGAUGGCUUCUGCUUUCCAAGGCAGGUAUUGUUAUAUGUGCAAUGGUAACUAUAUGAUAAUGUCCUCUUUCAUCUGAGGACAAAAUGUAUUUUCAUAAAGGUCAGCUUCUGCCAGGAAUAUAUUUUAAUUUGCUAGAAUUUCAAGGAUGACAAACAUCUCACUUGGAAAAAAAAAAUGUUAAGACUACUGUUGACAAAACGUCUCUGUUUCUCAUCAGAAAGUAUUUUCUAUAUUUAUUUUAAGUUACACAUAGAUUCUGUUUUGAACAAAAAGGAGUUUGAUUUUUUUUUUAGUCUCAGCUUUAAGGGAAGAUCCCAUCUCUGCUGGGUCUGCAGUCUCUCCUUACAGUGCCUUCAGAAGGGGCCAUGCUUUGAAAAAAAAUGUUUAAAUUAUUAAGGUUGAGGUAAGAUGGAGCAUAAACUACAGUUCAGCCAAGUACCCAAGAACCAAAUGCUUAAGCAUCUACAACAAUUCUGACCCCAAACUUCAUCACUUUCCAAAUCCUCAGCAGAUUAAGUGCCAAUUCAUUUCUAGUAAUCCAAUUACCAAAUACACUUUUGUUGCUCUGGAAAUAUUUCAGAAAUGAUUAGUCUUCAAGUUUCUUAUAGCACGUUUAAUAUUCUCUUUCAUACAAAAACUGAAGAGCUGAUAGCUUCCUAAAUAACUACAAUUUGCUAAGCUCAUUAUUUAAAGUGCAAUGAUUAUCUACUAAUAAUAACGAAUGCACAUACUAUUCCUCAAAAAUUAAAGUCUGUGAGGAAGACUCCUCUGAAAAUAUGGUACAGGGAAUAGUUUAUUUUUUUCUUAAUUAGCAACCAGCUCUCUAUAAGAUUAUUCUGCAGCUAAUCAUCCUGCUGCCAGCAGCAAAAUAAAACAGACUCCCCUGAAGUAAGUUUGUCUUGGUAAGAUUUCAAGAUAACAGAUUGUGACAUAAACCUCCUCAGGUUCAUACACUUGCACUGUUCUGCCAUUUUAAAUAAACACUUCUGUUAAAAUGUUUAUCCACUAAACAUACAAAGAACAUUUUCAUCACAAGCACAAACACUGCUUUUAAAUAAAUGAAGGGGAUGGCAAUAUAUGUGCUAGAAUCCCAUAGCCUACGACUUCUUGAUAUUAGAAGUAAGCCUCCAAAAACUUCUGAAUGGCUGAAAAAGACACUGUCCUCUGCUUUAAUGAAGAAGUGUCUUUGAAUUCUAGAUAGCACCUAGUACUCUUAGGGAAUUGUUUUCCCACUUCUAAAGAAAUCAAAACAGUUUGUGCACAUCACAGCUUAAGACUCUACCUGCAACUCAUUACCUGUAAUUCAGCCAUUGAGUCAUUAUCUCCCUGAAAACUAGAAAUAAUAUCAUAUGCACUUGCAAUAUUAUUUUCACACCUGAGAUGAGAGAAACUUGUUGUUUUCACACCCUGAAGAAACCACCAACUGUCAAGACCCUGGAGCUAGCACUUUACUAGUCACAACUGAUUCCUACUGGCAACGAUCACUAGAAAAAUGAACAAUGAAGCAAAUGUCCCUGAUGAACUGAGACACAGAUCCUAACGCUCAAAUUCUCACAGAUGCCUUUAAAAAUUGCAACCUCACCCAUGGGUUGCUCAAGAACAGCCCCGUUCAGCUACUGUCUGUUUCUGUGAGAUUCUUGACCUGACACAAAUAUUCAUAGAAUUUUCAGAUUUUUUUUUCAACUAUCUGCAUUCCUAAGCAUUUCAUGUAAUCUUUUAAGAUAGCAUCACACUUUUAAGCCUUAUUUCAAUAUAUACUUUUCUACUCUUUCUAACUUACUUUAUAGUCAAUGAAGACAGGCAGGCUUUCAGGUAAUAAUUCAGAGCAAUGAAAUAUGAUCUCUAAAAUUGGUGGAAUGGUUCCAAUCCUAUUUCUAGCAUCCAGAAGUACGGUUUAGGUGUUUUGAGACUCGUAUAGAGCAAAGACAAAGCUCAACAGUUGAGAAUGAGACCUAGGAAGCAUUUUAAGAAAACGAAGAGAUGUCCAGAGCUAACCAGCUAAUAGCAAGGGAAGAAAAAUCUGUAAUCCCAAUCUGUCUUUCUGUGUAGUUUGCCUAUCUACCCAGUACAAAUGCUGAGUCUAGAAUCCCCAGAAGGCAAAGGAAUGUGUUAGUGCCAAUCACUUUUCUUACCAGGUUUAUAGCCCUAGAUAAGCAGCUCUCUGGAUCUUGGAUUUUGUAAGUGACCAUCGUAUCUAGAAUCAUUACUAAGAUAAUUGUUGCAGAUGUUGAGUUUGCUGAAAUUCUUAAUUACUGGAUGACAGAAUGGAAAAGAAUAAACCAAACAAACCCAGAAAACAAAAAGGGCAAAACAAUACAGAGAAAAUGGCCUUGCUAUACAUAUUUAAUGAAUCAGUAAAAAUAUCCUGCACAAAGGCUUAGAGAGUUAACUGAAAAUGUGUGUAUGAUAAAUGGAUAUAAUACUGUCUAUGUAAUGGGCUUCCUAUUUAAAUUUUGCGAGGAUUUAAUCAGUUGGGCACAGCUGUGCAAGAUGCACCAUAAACUACGUUGAAAAAUAUGUAGACAUGUACAUUUAUCUGCUACAAAUUAAGCUCACUUAGAGGUGGUCUUAAUGGACCAUGUAGCAAUCAUUACAAGCAUAAAUUUUAAACUGUCUGUUUCCAGUGAAUUUGCUUUGAAAAAAAAUUAACGCUCAUCCUUAGUGGAGCACAGUAAUAAAUGGAAGUACCCUUAAUCUGUUAAGCACUAAUAACCUAGCAAUUAUUCAUUAUGAACCCCAUGCUGUAUAAUGUAUGUCUGUUACACUUUUAUUAGUGAUUCUUUACUUAACCUGUAAAGGUGUAAUUUUUAUUCCAACAAACACCUGGUAAUAACAUGACGUUUUAAGUGAUAUGCCAUUACAUUUACAGAAUGUCCUGCCUCCUUGCUUUAUUAUGAGAGAUUUGUACAGUACAGGACUGCUAAGGAUAAUAAUAGAAUAGAAUGAUUCAUGAAUUUCAGAUUUUGCACUUCUACAAAAGGCAGCAACACCCACCUUAGAGAUCAAAAAGCUAUGACUUGAUUACAGUGCAACAUAUAAAUAACCUAUACAUUAUUUAACACAGGAAAUGAGUAACGCUGCAAUCAAAGUGAAUCAGUGACCCAGUUGGCACAGUCUAGGAGGUUGUAGCAGUUGUAUGUUCCCCUACAGAAGUCACUUGAAGGCAGUGGUAUGCUGGAGUAUUUGAUACUGGACUAUCACUCAUUUUGCAGAGGUGAAAAAGGAGACCAUCUCCUUUCACUGAAGGGCCUUUUCUCCCCAGAGACCACAGUGUUGCCCAGAGUAAAAGUUUUCAAACCAUAAAGGAGGAAAUCAGUGUAUUUGAGUAACUUCUGCUGGCUUACUUCUUUUCUGCUCUCCACCAGUUAGAAAGGACACUAUGCACUCUAAGAGAGCAGAUGAACCCAUCAAGCUUUUUCUGUAAACCACAAAGGAACUUGGAAGUUACAAAUCAAGUGCUCAAGGCAGCAACAGGGCAAGUUAUUGUUGUGGAUAACUGACCUGUCUCAGCCCUAUUCAAAGCUAUAGAAAUUUUGCUGUUCAGCACCUUCAAGAACACUUCCUUUCAGCCUCAGUUUUCAGGAACAUUACAUAACAUUAUAUUUAUUUUACGUGGAGCAAAUAAAGCCAUAUAAUAGGGUACCUAAUCCUUUUCUUCACAGAAAGUUGUUUGCUGGUUUCUUUGCCAAUUUAACUGUUUGAAUUGCAGCUUUCCAACACGAGUCUCCGCUUUGCCUUUAAUGUAUUUGCCAAAUUUUCCACCCAGCUUUAAUCCAAACUCAAGAGGACAAACUUUUGACAUUUCCUGCUAUUGCCUUCUCAGAAGCAAGGAGCUGCUAGCUCUCUGCACUUAAACUAUUCCCUCACUGGUACUCCUAGCAUGAGAAGCAAUCUGACCAUAACACAAAAAGAGAGGAACCAGAAAUGGUAAUGCAUGAGGCAUGGUCCUACACAGUCUUAAAGGGUGAUCAUUAAAGCAUGCUUCAGUUAAAAUGACAAUGAGAAGCUGAAGAGACAAAUAUAUACAGAAAAGAAAAAAAAAGAAAAGAAAACUGACUACGAGAGGCUACUACACAUAUUGUAUGUAUAACCAAUACUUUAAGUUCAGUGGCUGAUUCAGAGACACUGUCACAUUGGAUUCUCUAUAUUGCUCUGAAGGAUCCUUGUGCUGAAAUGUCAGCUGGUGAAAUCACCUAAAGGCAAAAAUAAAAUUGCCCUAACAUUAUGCAUAGCAAUUCUACUGCUCAGUGCUCUGUAGUUCUGUUUUCUAAGAAUAGAUGUUUCAAAGGAACCUCUUCUUCAGUAUGAGCCAGAGGCAACAGGAUUUUACCCUAAAAGUGGCUAUUAGGCUUUGUGGAAACAUUGAGGAAUAUUAAAUAUUCUUGUAUUUUGAUUGAGCAAAAUUCAGAAGGGUAAUGGCAUCAACUGAAUGUCUAGCUUAAUCAUUGAUGUCUAGCUUAAAGUAAAUAUUUUUAACAUCUACUACUACCACUUCAAAUUAAGGUAACUCUGGAAAGUAAGAGGCCAAUAAGGAAAAGAAAUUUUUGGAUAGUCCCCUUUUUGUUAACGUAGGUUAGUAGGUGUUUCUGUGGUCACUAUUUUUCAUUCCAAACUGGCAAUGUCCAGGGGUCUAGCCAUUUAACUAGAGGGUUAUGCAGUGCAAUCAUAGACUCACUGAACAGUUUGGGUCGUCUAGUUCCAACCCUCCUGCUAUAGGCAGGGACACCUCCCUCUAGACCAGG